rfam:Bacillus akibai JCM 9157 DNA, contig:contig_9.
UGGGCGGUAUCCUUUUUUCGGAACUGCACCGUUUGACUAUUUAAAUAGGAUCUGCCUUGAUCCAUCAAGGACUAGGACAGAGGG